rnacentral:rRNA from 1 species
CUCGUAGGCGGCUUGUCGCGUCGACUGUGAAAACCCGCGGCUCAACCGUGUGGUCUGCAGUCGAUACGGGCAGGCUAGAGUUCGGUAGGGGAGACUGGAAUUCCUGGUGUAGCGGUGAAAUGCGCAGAUAUCAGGAGGAACACCGGUGGCGAAGGCGGGUCUCUGGGCCGAUACUGACGCUGAGGAGCGAAAGCGUAGGGAGCGAACA